UGUUCAUUUGGGGAAAUUCAAUGAAACUGGAAAAAUACGGAGAGGAUUAGCAUUGCCCUGCGCAAGGAUGACAUGCACAAAUCGAGAAAUUGUCCAAAAAAUU
rfam:Nicotiana attenuata strain TT chromosome 5, whole genome shotgun sequence.